AUUGAACGCUGGCGGCAGGCCUAACACAUGCAAGUCGAGCGGAUGAAGGGAGCUUGCUCCUGGAUUCAGCGGCGGACGGGUGAGUAAUGCCUAGGAAUCUGCCUGGUAGUGGGGGAUAACGUCCGGAAACGGGCGCUAAUACCGCAUACGUCCUGAGGGAGAAAGUGGGGGAUCUUCGGACCUCACGCUAUCAGAUGAGCCUAGGUCGGAUUAGCUAGUUGGUGGGGUAAAGGCCUACCAAGGCGACGAUCCGUAACUGGUCUGAGAGGAUGAUCAGUCACACUGGAACUGAGACACGGUCCAGACUCCUACGGGAGGCAGCAGUGGGGAAUAUUGGACAAUGGGCGAAAGCCUGAUCCAGCCAUGCCGCGUGUGAAGAAGGUCUUCGGAUUGUAAAGCACUUUAAGUUGGGAGGAAGGGCAGUAAGUUAAUACCUUGCUGUUUUGACGUUACCGACAGAAUAAGCACCGGCUAACUUCGUG
rnacentral:rRNA from 1 species